GUGGUUCCAAUGGAAAAACUUGAUGUGUGCUCUGAAGUGAUGUUACUCAUCCAUUGCAUAACCAUCACCUAUAUCAAAGGAGAGCCUUUAUGUACUGGCUAAUACAGUGUGUUAAAUUCACCCCAAACGAACUGGAUGCCAUUAAACCUUUAGAGCAAUGGGACCGUUCUUACAAGAUGGAAGGUCAGACUUCUGGAAGAGCAGUUCCCUUCUGCAGUGCUGCUUCUCUGUCUCACAAGGAAGAAAUGCGUAUUUGUCUCCAUCAAUCCUCAAACACUUGCCAAAAUCCAGGAAACAGGAUUGCACUUGAAUCGACCUGCAAAUUGUUCCUCGGCUUGGCCUUGUAUGAGACUCAGAGUCUGAUCCGGCAGGCAUUUAUUCAGGGCCUGUGCUAGGCAUUCGCUUAUGUGUUCUUCUGAAAUAUUCCUCCUUUCCAGGCUUCUAUUGACCACACUAAAAGCAGCAUCUCUCACUGUGGAAGACAAGGGACAUUUUCUAACCUCUUCUCUGGAAUUACAUUAAUGGAAAGUAUUGUGUCUUAAAAAGUAAAACAAAAACAAAAACAAAACCCAAAGCCUUGUGAAAUUGUUAGACAACCACUGCUGUUUUGAAUAACUACUUAGAAGAACCAUAAUAAUUUGGACAUCAUUAAUGUAGAAUCUACUCCAAGCCAGACUUGGGCUUGAUAAAUUACAUUCAUUAAUAACAAACGCUAGACUGCGUGAGCCAGGCUUGACCUCCCCCAAGAACACAUUAUUUAAAAAUUCAUUUGGCAUCUAUUUCCAUAUCAAUAAUCAAUGUGCUAUUUACUGAUCAUUUAAAUCUGAUUAUUAAAGCAGAUUCAGAAAGAAGGACAUUGGCUUGCUAAUUUGCAGUGAUUCUGUUUUAGCUAAAACACGUAGCAGUACUUAAUAAUCUAGUAUAUCUUUGAACAUCUAACAAUCCCGGAUUCUAAAAAAAUGACUGAUCUCGGGCAGAAUUAAUUUAGCUAACGAGAUUUUUCUGUAUUUUAGUGUUGACAGCUUUCUUUUCAUACGCUUGAAUUUUACAUUUGGGAAUUUUAUUCUGAGAAAUAAAAACAGAUUAAACAGGGGCUUUUGAAAAUAU
rnacentral:lncRNA from 1 species